AAGGACACAACUUCUGGAAUAAAAGGGAAUCAUGAAGGAAUAUUUCCGUCAUGUGUCUUUAAGGGGUUAAUCCCCUGUUCUUCUUAAUCCUCCAUUCCCCCUGUUCUUCUUAAUCCCCCCUGCUCUUCACAGAGCGCUCAGAUGGCUGCAGCAUUAGGACCGGCCCUGCAGCGGCCGGUUUAAAAAUUAUUUGGGGCGGCCUGGGGGGCAAUUGCCUCCCUGCCACAGCCCGCCCCUGGGUAUAGGCCCAACCGCCAUCUUGUUAGUGACUCAGAGUGAGGUGGAGGGGCUGUAUUGGGCUACCGGGGGCCACGGAGGUGCUCGUGUGAGGCCAUCGGGGACUGGGAUAACCCCCACCGGUCCAGAGGAGAGGGGGUAACAGGGCCAGUGAGACAGUCCAUCGGAAGCUGCACCAUCGAUCGGCGAUCGGUAAGUAGAUGAGGUGCCGUCCACCUCACCCCUCGCUACAGUAGGCUGCAAGCUCCAGGUGUACAAUUUUCCAGCAGGGCUUCACAGCAUCCAGGCCUGAGGUCUGCAGGUUAAGCAGUGAGUUGUUGUGUGACAACUCGCAGUUUUUCUGGAGAAAUUAAGCAGAUUUUCCACUUAUAGAGAGCUGAUUAGGUGAGAACAGGCUGGAGCUCAUCAGACUUGCGACCAGCCAGCAUGGCGGUCCGGCCAUGAUACCUUGUACCCUUAUCACAUGCUUGGCUCCCUGACAUUUUUACAACUUAUGUUACUAAUUUUUAUAUAAAUAUGUAUAGUUUAUCCUACUGUGUUCUCACAUAUGCAAUGUCUUUAGUUGAAAAUGUCAUUUCUAUUUUAUUUUUCAUAGCUAUUUUUUACGUAUUG